CCAUUCGAACGACAAGUUCGACCGAGGGUUUGAAACCCUAGCGAAUCGAGGACGUAAAAGAAAUAGCAACCCGUUUGGAUCUGUCAUCUCUGAUCGUGUCGUUCGCCUCGAUGAGUAAUGCAGGAAAUUAUCUCGGGGACUCGCUGGAUGGUUUCUAAAGUGUGCAACUUUCUCAUCCAUUCUAAAUAUAUCUACACAUUCAUGAUUUACUCCAAGUGGGCAACAAAUCUAAAUAGGUUCAUGCAGAGACUCCUCAAACUGCAGUCCUUCCAUCUCAAGGAAGAUCGAACCAGGACAUCUGAUGAUCAGCGGAGAAAGGAUGUUGGAAGAGAGUUAGAAAGGGAUUCUAGUCGUAGCAGGUCCAGUAGAGGCUACAAGUCUCAGAAGAAUUCUGAGAGGCAUCCAUAUGGAUAUUCCCAUGACUACAGAAGACAUGGUGAUUAUAGUAGGCAUGACAGGCAUAUUGAUGACAAUAAUAGAAAUUAUCGGCAGUCAUCAAGGUCUGGUAAAGAACCGAGGAACAAAAAAUGAGAGAACAACUGAUAAAUACCGAGACAGUGAAAGAAAUUUCAGAACAUAAAAAUAAGAACAGUGAAAGAAAUUCUAUGAAAGAUUAUGAUAGAGCUGAUGCUAGAAAUAAACUAGUAGGGUUAGGUAGAGAUUAUGAUUCAGAGGAGGACCAGCAAAGAGAGAGAGAAUCACAAGAUUACGAAAAAGAUUAUCAUAGGAAUCCUGAAAGUCAUAAGAAUGAUAAGGUAGCAUCACAUGAGGAAUUGAGGGGAUAUGACAAAGAUUCAACUGAUGGAAAGGAUACUAGUGCACCUCAACUGAAAAAAGCUGACAGCAAUAAUAAGAUGGAUUUGUAUGGGUGGGAGGAUCUGGUACCAAGAAGGAAAUAUAAUGAAUGGGAAGGUGGUAUGCUCUUCCGAAUGCAAAGAACUUCAGACUGAGAGAAGUUUGUAAAGUCACCAAGGGAUGGAUGGUAAAAAUGCCUCUGUGAUUUGAUAGACAAGCAAAAUUCUUUUUUAAGAGAACCUAAACCUGGUCACUUGGAACAUGGAAAUGCUGUUGAUGAAGUGCCAUCAUCUAGUUCAAAACAGACUAAGGAGACACAUGAGAAAGUAAAUUCUGAGACUUUGAACUCAUCUAUCAAUGAUGCUGAAUCUACUAAUGAUGUUAAUUCAGCAAAAGUUGCUGCUUUGAAAGCUGCGGAAUUAGUGAAUAAAAACCUUGUAGGUUUUGGAGGGGUUGGAUACUUGUCCACUGACCAAAAGAAAAAGCCACUUUGGGGUAACAAAAAGAACAGCACUUACUGAAGAGGUGAUACCUAUCAUUUUGGAUCAAGUGGAAAAUUGUUCAUCUAGGUGUCCGUCAUCACAUUACUGAUUUCAGUGUCAAAAGUCUCAGUCCUCCAGUUGCUGGGACUUCCAUCUGUUCUCCAACCAGGAGUCUCAGGAGAAGUUCAAUAGACUCAUGGUAAUUUCUAUCCUUCAAUUGUUUUACAAUCAUGUUCCUUGUAGUAGUUGGUAUGUACCCACAAAAUUGUUUCAGUCAUAGCAAUUUAUUAGAUAUCGACACCUACUAACACGUUUCCAGAGUCUGAGGUUGCCUUUGUGACUAUGGCCAAUUGUCGGAUGUGAAAUGAAAUGCGGCUGCAGAGCACAGAUCGGACAUGAAGCAUGUAAAUCUUCAAGUAAAGAAAUCCAUGCCGAUCUGGAAAAGCAAUAUACAGCUGGGCUUCGGCGAAGAGAUGGUCGAACUUGGUUUGUAAUGACAUCAAUUUUCUCUCCUCUUUUCAAAUGCAUCACAGACGUGUGGUGAAAAACUUGGCAAGCUUGCUUUCCAUUGUGCAAGAACAGUUUCAUGCUUGCUUGUAAGCCACUGUUAUUCCAUCAGAUUUUAAUGGAAAGUUACUUGCGUUGAGUA